UAUGGACACACUGAAACACCAGUUCCCGUACGAUAUCCAAAGUUAAGCAACAUUGAGCAGGCUAGUACCUAGAUGGGUGACUGCUUGGGAAUACCAGGUGCUGUAAG